rnacentral:tRNA from 1 species
GCCCGGAUAGCUCAGUUGGUAGAGCAUCAGACUUUUAAUCUGAGGGUCCAGGGUUCGAGCCCCUGUUCGGGCG